UACGUAGGGUGCGAGCGUUGUCCGGAAUUACUGGGCGUAAAGAGCUCGUAGGUGGUUUGUCGCGUUGUCCGUGAAAACUCACAACUCAAUUGUGGGCGUGCGGGCGAUACGGGCAGACUGGAGUACUGCAGGGGAGACUGGAAUUCCCGGUGUGAGAGGUGAAAUUCGUAGAGUAUCGGGAGGAACACCAGUGGCGAAGGGCGGACGAUCUGGGAAGAGUACUGA
rnacentral:rRNA from 1 species